GACGAACGCUGGCGGCGUGCUUAACACAUGCAAGUCGAACGGACAGGCCCUGCGUUUGUGGGGUUCUCGAGUGGCGAACGGGUGAGUAACACGUGAGUAACAUGCACUUGACUUUGGGAUAACUUCAGGAAACUGGGGCUAAUACCGGAUAGGAUCUCCUGCAGCACGGUGGGGGUUGGAGAGUUACGGCGGUUGGGGAUGGACUGGCGGGUUAUCAGCUUGUUGGUGGGGUAGUGACUUACCAAGGCUUUGAAGGGUAGCCGGCCUGGGAGGGUGGACGGCCACAAGGGUCCUGCGGUACGCACCAGACGCCUACGGUACGCAGCAGGGGGAAACAUGGCACAGUGGCGCGAAGCCUGAGGCAGCAAUGCCGCGUGCGGGAUGACGGCCUUCGGGUUGUAAACCGCUGUCGCCUGUGACGAAGAGUGAGUGACGGUAACGGGUAAAAAAGCAACGGCUAACUACGUG
rnacentral:rRNA from 1 species